AUCUUUCUAGUAUUAAGUUCUAGUAUAAGUGACUUCCAAUCACCCGGUCUUGGUUAAAAUCCAAGGAAAGAUA
rnacentral:tRNA from 1 species